rnacentral:rRNA from 1 species
AGUGAACGCUGGCGGUAGGCCUAACACAUGCAAGUCGAACGGCAGCACAGUAAGAGCUUGCUCUUACGGGUGGCGAGAGGCGGACGGGUGAGGAAUACAUCGGAAUCUACUUUUUCGUGGGGGAUAACGUAGGGAAACUUACGCUAAUACCGCAUACGACCUACGGGUGAAAGCAGGGGAUCUUCGGACCUUGCGCGAUUGAAUGAGCCGAUGUCGGAUUAGCUAGUUGGCGGGGUAAAGGCCCACCAAGGCGACGAUCCGUAGCUGGUCUGAGAGGAUGAUCAGCCACACUGGAACUGAGACACGGUCCAGACUCCUACGGGAGGCCGCAGUGGGGAAUAUUGGACAAUGGGCGCAAGCCUGAUCCAGCCAUACCGCGUGGGUGAAGAAGGCCUUCGGGUUGUAAAGCCCUUUUGUUGGGAAAGAAAAGCAGCAGGUUAAUACCCCGCUGUUCUGACGGUACCCAAAGAAUAAGCACCGGCUAACUUCGUG